UACAGAGGAGCCAAGCGUUGUCCGGAUUGACUGGGCGUAAAGCGCACGCAGGCGGUUGCGCGCGUGGGGUGUGAAAUCUGGCCGCUUAACGGCCAGGCGCCAUCCCAUACGGCGCGACUCGAGCCCGUGAGAGGUCCACGGAAUUGCCGGUGUAGUGGUGAAAUGCGUAGAGAUCGGCAGGAACACCCAGGGGGAAACCAGUGGACUGGCACGGUGCUGACGCUCAGGUGCGAAAGCGUGGGGAGCGAACCGG
rnacentral:rRNA from 1 species